GAAAUUUAUCAGCAAUCCAGGGAUUCUUGGAAAAAAAAAAGACUCCCUGGAGUGCGGAUAAAUUUC